GCCUAUUACUUUUAGAAAAGGCAGGGAAAGGCGCCUGACCCUGACCUCCUACAAAUACAGCUAUUCUUUCAGCUGCCAUUCACUGUUGGAAACCUAAUGCUAUGACACAGAAGAAACUGGGCACCAGGAUUUUUUAUUCAUGCAUGAUUCCCAAUCUGGUUUUAAACUCCUAUGUUCUCAGCUAAAAACAAUGAGAGGAAAUGUGGAACUUGGGGUAAGGCGUGUGUAUUUAUGCACAAGAGCACCAGCCAAAUAUUUGCUGCUACAAGGGGAUAUCACCUCUUUUUCAUUUUCUACUGACAUACCUCCUAGAUACUCCCAUAUCAUCCUGGCAUUGCAAGCUUCAAAGACAAGAAGUAAAUCCCAAAACAUAUGUGUAGCCAUGUCUAAUUGUGCAGUAAAUUAAAUGAUGCAUUAUGAC